rnacentral:rRNA from 1 species
AUACGGAGGGGGUUAGCGUUGUUCGGAAUUACUGGGCGUAAAGCGUACGUAGGCGGAUUGGUAAGUUAGAGGUGAAAUCCCAGGGCUCAACCCUGGAACUGCCUUUAAUACUGCCAGUCUUGAGUUCGAGAGAGGUGAGUGGAAUUCCGAGUGUAGAGGUGAAAUUCGUAGAUAUUCGGAGGAACACCAGUGGCGAAGGCGGCUCACUGGCUCGAUACUGACGCUGAGGUACGAAAGUGUGGGGAGCAAACAGGAUUAGAAACCCCAGUAGUCC